rnacentral:rRNA from 1 species
ACGAACGCUGGCGGCGUGCUUAACACAUGCAAGUCGAGCGGUAAGGCCCUUUCGGGGGUACACGAGCGGCGAACGGGUGAGUAACACGUGGGUGACCUGCCCUCAGCUCUGGGAUAAGCCUGGGAAACCGGGUCUAAUACUGGAUAUGACUCCAUGACGCAUGUUGUGGGGUGGAAAGCCUUGUGCGGCUGAGGAUGGGCCCGCGGCCUAUCAGCUUGUUGGUGGGGUGANGGCCUACCAAGGCGACGACGGGUAGCCGGCCUGAGAGGGCGACCGGCCACACUGGGACUGAGACACGGCCCAGACUCCUACGGGAGGGCAGCAGUGGGGAAUCUUGCGCAAUGGGCGAAAGCCUGACGCAGCGACGCCGCGUGAGGGAUGACGGCCUCGG